AUACGGAGGAUCCGAGCGUUAUCCGGAUUUAUUGGGUUUAAAGGGAGCGUAGGCGGACGCUUAAGUCAGUUGUGAAAGUUUGCGGCUCAACCGUAAAAUUGCAGUUGAUACUGGGUGUCUUAAGUACAGUAGAGGCAGGCGGAAUUCGUGGGGUAGCGGUGAAAUGCUUAGAUAUCACGAAGAACUCCGAUUGCGAAGGCAGCCUGCUGGACUGUAACUGACGCUGAUGCUCGAAAGUGUGUGUAUCAAACAGGAUUAGAUACCCUGGUAGUCCACACAGUAAACGAUGAAUACUCGCUGUUUGCGAUAUACAGUAAGCGGCCAAGCGAAAGCGUUAAGUAUUCCACCUGGGGAGUACGCCGGCAACGGUGAAACUUAAAGGAAUUGACGGGG
rnacentral:rRNA from 1 species